UUGUUGGUUUUAACUGAACCCAAGGUAAUGACUAAGAGAGACAGUCGGGGGCAUUUGUACUGUGACGCUAGAGGUGAAAUUCUUGGACCGUCACAAGACAAACAACUGCGAAAGCAUUUGCCAAGGAUGUUUUCAUUAAUCAAGAACGAAAGUUAGAGGUUCGAAGGCGAUCAGAUACCGCCCUAGUUCUAACCAUAAACGAUGCCAACCAGCAAUCCGCCGGGGUUAUUCCCAUGACCCGGCGGGCAGCUUCCGGGAAACCAGAGUCUUUGGGUUCCGGGGGAAGUAUGGUUGCAAAGCUGAAACUUAAAGGAAUUGACGGAAGGGCACCACCAGGAGUGGAGCCUGCGGCUUAAUUUGACUCAACACGGGAAACCUCACCAGGCCCAGACACUGGAAGGAUUGACAGAUUGAGAGCUCUUUCUCGAUUCAGUGGGUGGUGGUGCAUGGCCGUUCUUAGUUGGUGGAGUGAUUUGUCUGGUUAAUUC
rnacentral:rRNA from 1 species